AGGGUGAUCGGCCACACUGGGACUGAGACACGGCCCAGACUCCUACGGGAGGCAGCAGUAGGGAAUCUUCCGCAAUGGACGAAAGUCUGACGGAGCAACCCCGCGUGAGUGAUGAAGGUUUUCGGAUCGUAAAGCUCUGUUGUUAGGGAAGAACAAGUACCGUUCGAAUAGGGCGGUACCUUGACGGUACCUAACCAGAAAGCCACGGCUAACUACGUGCCAGCAGCCGCGGUAAUACGUAGGUGGCAAGCGUUGUCCGGAAUUAUUGGGCGUAAAGGGCUCGCAGGCGGUUUCUUAAGUCUGAUGUGAAAGCCCCCGGCUCAACCGGGGAGGGUCAUUGGAAACUGGGGAACUUGAGUGCAGAAGAGGAGAGUGGAAUUCCACGUGUAGCGGUGAAAUGCGUAGAGAUGUGGAGGAACACCAGUGGCGAAGGCGACUCUCUGGUCUGUAACUGACGCUGAGGAGCGAAAGCGUGGGGAGCGAACAGGAUUAGAUACCCUGGUAGUCCACGCCGUAAACGAUGAGUGCUAAGUGUUAGGGGGUUUCCGCCCCUUAGUGCUGCAGCUAACGCAUUAAGCACUCCGC
rnacentral:rRNA from 1 species